CUUAAGGCUUAAGUCAUUUAGGCAUUAUGCAACACUGUUUCCCGUAUUUCCUUCUUUUGACAACCACAGUCAACGUGAUACAGCCUUUUCCGGUUAAUUCGUUGAACAUGGCAGUCGGCAAAAAUAAAGGUCUUUCCAAGGGAGGAAAAAAGGGUGGUAAGAAGAAGGUAGUAGAUCCCUUUUCACGCAAGGACUGGUACGAUGUCAAAGCACCGAAUAUGUUUCAAACCCGUCAAAUCGGUAAAACGCUUGUCAACCGCACCCAGGGACAAAGAAUUGCCUCGGAUUACUUGAAGGGUCGCGUGUUCGAAGUGUCUCUGGCUGAUCUGCAGAAAGACAUCGAUCCUGAGCGUUCGUUUCGUAAGUUCCGUCUUAUUGCUGAAGACGUACAGGACCGCAACGUUCUGUGCAACUUCCAUGGAAUGGAUUUGACUACCGAUAAAUACAGGUAAUUGCAUUUUCCGUGUUAAUGCUCAACAAGCAAGCCAUUCACAUAUCCAUAUAUAUAUGUAUGUAAGUACGUACAUAUGUAUGUAUGUACAUAUACAUACGUAUGUACAUAUCCAUAUAUCCAUAUCUUUUAGCUGAAGAGUUUUUUGUCUAUAACUUAUGUAGAUUGUAGCUUAUUUGACAACUAAAUGUUCUGCGCAUUAAAAUAAAGUAAUGCAUAAUGAAAAGAUUUGGCACACAAUGGCCAAAGGUUCAUACAAGCAGAUAGUUAUAUAUCUACAUAAGAAUAGAUGGGCAUAGGGCUAAACGACACAUAGAUACACAUAUAUCCAAUAAUCUACACAAAUGUACGUUUUCUUUUGGAUAGGUCCAUGGUGAAAAAGUGGCAAACACUUAUUGAGGCCAUAGUUGAGGCCAAAACCGUUGAUGGGUAUCUGUUGCGUGUUUUCUGCAUUGGAUUUACUGCAAAAGACCAACAGUCUCAGCGUAAAACUUGCUAUGCGCAACAGUCUCAGGUCCGUAAGAUUCGCGCACGUAUGACUGACAUCAUAACUAAUGAAGUCAGUGGGGCUGAUCUGAAGCAACUAGUUAACAAAUUAGCUCUGGACUCAAUUGCAAAAGAUAUUGAAAAGAGUUGUCAACGCAUUUAUCCUUUACAUGAUGUUUACAUCCGUAAAGUGAAGGUGUUGAAGAAGCCUCGUUUUGACGUAUCCAAACUUCUGGAGUUGCAUGGUGAUGGUGGCGGAAAAACUACAGAAGCCGUCGUAUCUGCUGAAGGCGCUGUGGUCGACCGUCCCGAAGGUUACGAACCACCCGUACAGGAGGCAGUCUAAGCUGGAUAUGCAUUUUGUUUAUUGUAUUGCAUUCAGAGAGCAUAUAAUAUAUAACUCUACGUUUUGUAGAACAUCAUUUUUGUGUUUUAGCUUCUUGGUUCCAGGGGGUUUUAUUUUUAAUUUUAGGGGAGUCCGGAAUUGGAAUACUGCCGUUAACGUUUUACCAAAUGUAAUACAAAUGGUAUCCUACAUUUAGAGCAUGGUAUGUAAGCUUGAAACAAUAAACCUAAAUGGUGUAAACCAUAUAACCAUAUGUUUUCCACAUCUUAGAUUACAUGAUAACUUGAGGAUAGCUAAAGGUACACAAGCUGUGCAACAGGUAAAUAUCAAAUAUAAGAUUCGGUUUGCAAAAUGAUGUUUAAUUUUUCGUCUCUGUCAGUUUACUGAUGACAAUUCAUGGCUGAUUGCAAAAAAAAAAAACAAAUAGAUUGCUGUAUAAACAUAUGAACUUACUUUUGAACAUCUAAGUUUUCAAUUUUUGCAGACAAUAUGAAGCAGUAAACGACCAUGACACACGGAGGUCGGAUCCAAUUGGACCGCUAAUUGGUAAAUGUAUGAAUAUACUUGCAUGAAUCUUACAAGUUCCACAUGUUUUAGGUGGUUUCCCUUCGAUAGUAGCUAACUUUUAGAUGGUGCUAUCGUAAGAUAUUGCUAAAUCGCUAGAUACUAUCUUGCUUAUUUGUCUGAUAGUUUCAUGUCCAAAUUUACUUAGUCAUAUAUAUUAUUACAACUUUCAAUUUUUAGAACGGGGUUUGUUGGAAUUCGGUGAUUACAAAGUUAAGUAAAACAUCAAUACCUUUUAGCUGUGACUGAAACGCUUAAUGCAUUUCCAAUAUCCACUCAUGAAUUUAUAGCAGAAUUCAGCUACAGGCAUAAGGCUUGGUGAAAGCUAAGAAAAUAACUCAAAAAUGAUGUACUUUUUAUUUGCUACUCUUGAAAAAGAUGAUGAAAAUUGUCACCUUAGUAACUGAUCUGGAAGGAAAUAAAAAAAAUAUUGCUCUACAAUACUUUAACCAAUGUAUUUAAUAUUUUCAAUUAAAUUCCCCCAUUUAG
rnacentral:lncRNA from 1 species